AUCUAAGUAGUUUAUAAGAGAAUAAUAAUUUGUGGUGUUGUAGGAACUAUUUUUAGUCUUAGAUC
rnacentral:tRNA from 2 species